GGCGGGAUGCUGCUGCAGGCGCCCGUCGCCGCGGUCUGCUGGGGCGGAAGUCGGAGGCUGCUCAGCAUGGCGGCGCUCGACGCCAGCAUGUGCCCACUGCCACCGUCCCUGUCGCCCCGCUCUCUUCUCGCCGCUGCGGCGCACCUGCUCGCUGCUCCCUCGCCGUCCCUCAAUCCCAAUCUCUCCCUGUCACCUCUCUCAUCAGAUCUGGCGAGGCAGUGAGGAAGCACGACGAGAUGUCCGUGCCGCUCACUCGUUGCUGUCAAAGCUUGGCAGGGAUUUUGCCCAGUUCAUCAACGUCAGGGACGACCACAGCACCACGCUGCUGCAUCUCGCGGCCAGGCAGGGGCGUGCAGAUGUUGCUGGAGAACAACGGCAUUAUAUCCGCUUUGACAGGCUCAUACAGGUUCCCUGGUAGCACGUCGUUGCAUCUUGCUGCUCGCACUGGGAACCUGGAUUGCAUCUAGAAACUGCUUGCCUGGGGAGCAGAUCGUCUCCAAAGGGACUCGGCAGGCAUUCACAUCUCAUGAAGUUGCUGCCAGUGACCAUGUUCAUGGGGAUUGGACUGAUGGACCGCUUCUUGUCACAAGGAUACAUGAAGGGUCUGAGAAAUCUGCAGCUGCUGGGUAUUGCCUACAUCACCCUGGCCACCCACAUACAAGAGAACCAGCAGUACAAUUGAUGCACCAGUACAAUUGUCGGAGUUAGCGACUAUGAUCCAAUGUGAUGGCCGAACUCAAAAUGGCACAACUUGCAGGUACAAGGGGAUGAGCAUAGGUAUGGAGAAAGACACGAAAGAGUUAGCCUAUGGGAUAUUUGGAACCCCAGAAAACUCUCUGGUUUUCUCUUGUCCAUUGAAUUUGAAUUGGCAAUGCAUUCCCAGUUA